AUUGAACGCUGGCGGCAUGCCUUACACAUGCAAGUCGAACGGCAGCACGGGUCCUUGCACCUGUUGGCGAGUGGCGAACGGGUGAGUAAUACAUCGGUACAUGUCCUGUGGUGGGGGAUAGCCCGGCGAAAGCCGGGUUAAUACCGCAUACGAUCUACGUAUGAAAGCGGGGGACCUGCGGACCUCGCGCGGUUGGGUUUGCCGAUGGGUGAUUAGCUCGUUGUGGGGGUAAAGGCCUACAAAGGCGACGAUCAGUAGCGGGUGUGUGAGGGCGAUCGGCCACAUGGGGACUGGGACACGGCCCAGGCUCCUACGGGAGGCAGCAGUGGGGAAUUUUGGACAAUGGGCGAAAGCCUGAUCCAGCAAUGCCGCGUGUGUGAAGAAGGCCUUCGGGUUGUAAAGCACUUUUGUCCGGAAAGAAAUCCUUGGCCCUAAUACGGUCGGGGGAUGACGGUACCGGAAGAAUAAGCACCGGCUAACUACGUG
rnacentral:rRNA from 1 species